rnacentral:rRNA from 1 species
GAUGAACGCUGGCGGCGUGCCUAAUACAUGCAAGUCGAGCGAACAGACGAGGAGCUUGCUCCUCUGACGUUAGCGGCGGACGGGUGAGUAACACGUGGAUAACCUACCUAUAAGACUGGGAUAACUUCGGGAAACCGGAGCUAAUACCGGAUAAUAUAUUGAACCGCAUGGUUCAAUAGUGAAAGACGGUUUUGCUGUCACUUAUAGAUGGAUCCGCGCCGCAUUAGCUAGUUGGUAAGGUAACGGCUUACCAAGGCAACGAUGCGUAGCCGACCUGAGAGGGUGAUCGGCCAAACUGGAACUGAGAAACGGUCCAGCCUCCUACGGGAGGCAGAAGUGGGGAUUCUUCCGCAAUGGGCGAAAGCCUGACGGAGCAACGCCGCGUGAGUAAUGAGGGUUUUCGGUUCUUAAAACUCUUUUAUAGGGAAGAACAAAUGUGUAAGUAACUAUGCACGUCUUGACGGUACCUAAUCAGAAAGCCACGGCUAACUACGUG